rnacentral:lncRNA from 1 species
CCAGCCCCUGGUUUUGUUUGUUUUUUGUUUUGAGACAGAGUUUCACUCUUGUUGCCCAGGCUGGAGUGCAAUGGCACGAUCUCGGCUCACUGCAACCUCUGCUUCCUGGGUUCAAGCAAUUCUCCUGCCUCAGCAUCCCGAUUAGCUGAGAUUAUAGGCACCCACCACCACGCUAGGCUGAUUUUGUAUUUUUAUAAUGUGUCAGUGUCCAAUGUCUGUCCACCUCUCCGCCUCCACCAGUCUGAUGUGGACCUUCAGUGUUUCAUGUUAGGCUUUAUAGGCAGUAUCUUAUAACAUUACUGAUUUCUUGCCAUUGUAAUAAAUUGUUACCAUAUUUUAUUAUCUUUAUUUAUUUAUUUAUUUAUUUAUUUAUUUAUUUAUUUAUUUAUUUUUGAGAUGGAAUUGCGCUCUGUCUCCCAGCUGGAGUACAGUGUAUUUUG